CCUACGGGAGGCAGCAGUGAGGAAUAUUGGUCAAUGGACGAGAGCCUGAACCAGCCAAGUCGCGUGAAGGAUGACUGCUCUAUGGUUUGUAAACUUCUUUUAUAUGGGAAUAAAAUGUUCCACGUGUGGGAUUUUGUAUGUACCAUAUGAAUAAGGCUCGGCUACAUCCGUGCCAGCAGCAGCGGUAAUACGGAGGAACCGAGCGUUAUCCGGAUUUACUGGGUUUAAAGGGACCGGAGGGGGUUUAUUAAGUUUGUUGGUAAAGUUUGGGGCUUAACCGUAAAAUUGCAGUUGAAACUGGCAGUCUUGAGUAUAGGAGAGGUAGGCGGAAUUCGUGGUGUAGCGGUGAAAUGCUUAGAUAUCACGAAGAACUCCGAUUGCGAAGGCAGUUCACUGGACUACAACUGACACUGAGGCACGAAAGCGUGGGUAUCAAACAGGAUUAGAUACCCGUGUAGUC
rnacentral:rRNA from 1 species